rnacentral:lncRNA from 1 species
UGCAGUAGGUACGCAACGAUCGAGCUUGGUUUGUUUGCUUUGAAUCUUCAAGGAUACUUCUUCAUAAAAACUUCGUAUUGGUUAUUUUUUACGAAAUUUAUAUCUUUCUUUUUACUAUCUCUUUCGGAAAUGUGAUUUCCAAGGGUUUUUGGGUGAUAAUUCCAUCGUGACCGUUUUUGACCCCAACAAUCAUCGAAAAAAUUUCUUAAGGAAGCCGUUUCUAAUCUCUUCCCAACAAGUAAGGGAUCCUGUUG